rnacentral:rRNA from 1 species
AGAGUUUGAUCCUGGCUCAGAACGAACGCUGGCGGCGUGGAUAAGACAUGCAAGUCGAACGGAACUAAAUCGGUAGCAAUAUCGAUUUGGUUUAGUGGCGAACGGGUGCGUAACACGUGAGCAAUCUGCCGGAAAGUGGGGGAUAACUCGCCGAAAGGCGAAUUAAUACCGCAUGUGGCCAAGGGUGACAUCAUCCUACAGCCAAAGUCGCAAGACGCUUUCUGAUGAGCUCGCGGCCUAUCAGCUUGUUGGUGGGGUAACGGCCCACCAAGGCUAUGACGGGUAGCUGGUCUGAGAGGACGACCAGCCACACUGGAACUGAGACACGGUCCAGACACCUACGGGUGGCAGCAGUCGAGAAUUUUUCACAAUGGGGGCAACCCUGAUGGAGCGACGCCGCGUGGAGGACGAAGGGCUUCGCGCUCGUAAACUCCUGUCAAGCGGGAACAAGAAAGUGAUAGUACCGCUAGAGGAAGAGACGGCUAACUCUGUGCCAGCAGCCGCGGUAAUACAGAGGUCUCAAGCGUUGUUCGGAUUCAUUGGGCGUAAAGGGUGCGUAGGCGGCGUGGUAAGUCGAAUGUGAAAUCUCGGGGCUCAACCCCGAAACUGCACUUGAUACUACCAUGCUCGAGGAUUGUAGAGGAGAUCGGAAUUCACGGUGUAGCAGUGAAAUGCGUAGAUAUCGUGAGGAAGACCAGUUGCGAAAGCGGAUCUCUGGGCAAUUCCUGACGCUGAGGCACGAAGGCUAGGGGAGCAAACGGGAUUAGAUACCCUGGUAGUCCAA